rnacentral:rRNA from 1 species
UACGGAGGUGCGAGCGUUGUCCGGAAUCAUUGGGCGUAAAGGGCGCGUAGGUGGCCCCUCAAGCGUGCGGUGAAAGUCAGGGCUCAACCCCUGAUCGGCCGUGCGAACUGGGGAGCUUGAGCACUGUAGAGGCAGGCGGAAUUCCGGGUGUAGCGGUGGAAUGCGUAGAGAUCCGGAAGAACACCGGUGGCGAAGGCGGCCUGCUGGGCAGUUUGCUGACACUGAGGCGCGACAGCGUGGGGAGCAAACAGG